rnacentral:rRNA from 1 species
AUUGAACGCUGGCGGAAUGCUUUACACAUGCAAGUCGAGCGGCAGCACGGGGGCAACCCUGGUGGCGAGCGGCGAACGGGUGAGUAAUACAUCGGAACAUGCCCAGUCGUGGGGGAUAACACUUCGAAAGAAGUGCUAAUACCGCAUACGUCCUGAGGGAGAAAGCGGGGGAUCGCAAGACCUCGCGCGAUUGGAGUGGCCGAUGUCAGAUUAGCUAGUUGGUGGGGUAAAGGCCUACCAAGGCAACGAUCUGUAGCUGGUCUGAGAGGAUGAUCAGCCACACUGGGACUGAGACACGGCCCAGACUCCUACGGGAGGCAGCAGUGGGGAAUUUUGGACAAUGGGGGCAACCCUGAUCCAGCCAUUCCGCGUGAGUGAAGAAGGCCUUCGGGUUGUAAAGCUCUUUCGGCAGGAACGAAACGGUGAGCUCUAAAAUAGCUUGCUAAUGACGGUACCUGAAGAAGAAGCACCGGCUAACUACGUG